GUGCUCGCUUCGGCAGCACAUAUAUUAAAAUUGGAACGAUAUAGAGAAGAUUAGCAUGGCCCCUGCGCAAUUAUGACACGCAAAUUCAUGAAGCGUUCCAUAUUUCU
rnacentral:snRNA from 1 species